AAGUCGUAACAAGGUUUCCGUAGGUGAACCUGCGGAAGGAUCAUUACCAAACAAAAGAGUGCCUCCUUGUAGCAAGCAGGCUGGGGGUUUCCAUCGCGUGCUUGCUGCGCCUUGGCCUUGGCCUCCAUGCCCCUUGCUACGUCCUUCCAUUUUGCCAAACAAACCAGCAUGUCGCAUGUCGGUGGCAUCCCCUUGUCGGGAUCGCCCUUACACACAUUAAACAUAACUUUCAACAACGGAUCUCUUGGCUCUC
rnacentral:misc_RNA from 1 species